UGAAUACGAGAUGCUACGGCGUCGAAGCAGUCUAUGUCAUACUUCCAAGAGAAGCUUGCACUGUCAUAAACAAAUAAUGCCUGUACCAUAACCGACACAGGUGGGUAGGUAGAGUAUACUAAGGGGCGCGAGAUAACUCUCUCUAAGGAACUCGGCAAAAUGACUCCGUAACUUCGGGAGAAGGAGUGCCUUAUUUAUAAGGUUGCAAUAACAAGACCCAAGCAACUGUUUAUCAAAAACACAGGUCUCCGCUAAGUCGUAAGACGAUGUAUGGGGGCUGACGCCUGCCCAGUGCCAGAAGGUUAAAGAAGUUGGUUAGCAUUAGCGAAGCUGAUGACUGAAGCCCUGGUGAACGGCGGCCGUAACGAUAACGGUCCUAAGGUAGCGAAAUUCCUUGUCGGGUAAGUUCCGACCCGCACGAAAGGCGUAAUGAUUUGGGUACUGUCUCAGAGAGGGACUCGGUGAAAUAGACUUGUCUGUGAAGAUGCGGACUACCUGCACCUGGACAGAAAGACCCUAUGAAGCUUUACUGUAACCUGAAAUUGAAAUUGGACUUUAUUUGCGCAGUAUAGGUGGGAGGCUUUGAAGAUAUUCUUGCGGGAAUGUUGGAGCCAUCAGUGAGAUACCACUCUUGUAAUGUUAGAUUUCUAACUUUGUAUCAUUAUCUGGUCAAAGAACAGUUUCAGGCGGGCAGUUUGACUGGGGCGGUCGCCUCCUAAACGGUAACGGAGGCGCACAAAGGUUUCCUCUGAACGGGUAGAAAUCGUAUCUAGAGUGAAAAGGCAUAAGGAAGCUUGACUGUGAGACCUACAAGUCGAGCAGGGACGAAAGUCGGUCUUAGUGAUCUGACGGUGCUGAGUGGAAAGGCCGUCACUCAACGGAUAAAAGUUACUCUAAGGAUAACAGGCUGAUCUCCCCCAAGAGUUCACAUCGACGGGGAGGUUUGGCACCUCGAUGUCGGCUCAUCGCAUCCUGGGGCGGUAGUACGUCCCAAGGGUUGGGCUGUUCGCCCAUGAAAGCGGUACGCGAGCUGGGUUCAGAACGUCGUGAGACAGUUCGGUCCAUAUCCGGUGUAGGCGUUAGAAUAUUGAGAGGAGCCUUCUCUAGUACGAGAGGACCGAGAAGGACACACCUCUGGUGUACCAGUUAUCGUGCCAACGGUAAACGCUGGGUAGCUAUGUGUGGAGCGGAUAACCGCUGAAAGCAUCUAAGUGGGAAGCCCACCUCAAGAUAAGUAUUCCC
rnacentral:rRNA from 1 species